GGCGUGCCUAAUACAUGCAAGUCGAGCGAGCGGAACCAACAGAUUUACUUCGGUAAUGACGUUGGGAAAGCGAGCGGCGGAUGGGUGAGUAACACGUGGGGAACCUGCCCCUAAGUCUGGGAUACCAUUUGGAAACAGGUGCUAAUACCGGAUAAUAAAGCAGAUCGCAUGAUCAGCUUUUGAAAGGCGGCGUAAGCUGUCGCUAAGGGAUGGCCCCGCGGUGCAUUAGCUAGUUGGUAAGGUAACGGCUUACCAAGGCGACGAUGCAUAGCCGAGUUGAGAGACUGAUCGGCCACAUUGGGACUGAGACACGGCCCAAACUCCUACGGGAGGCAGCAGUAGGGAAUCUUCCACAAUGGACGCAAGUCUGAUGGAGCAACGCCGCGUGAGUGAAGAAGGUUUUCGGAUCGUAAAGCUCUGUUGUUGGUGAAGAAGGAUAGAGGUAGUAACUGGCCUUUAUUUGACGGUAAUCAACCAGAAAGUCACGGCUAACUACGUGCCAGCAGCCGCGGUAAUACGUAGGUGGCAAGCGUUGUCCGGAUUUAUUGGGCGUAAAGCGAGCGCAGGCGGAAAAAUAAGUCUAAUGUGAAAGCCCUCGGCUUAACCGAGGAACUGCAUCGGAAACUGUUUUUCUUGAGUGCAGAAGAGGAGAGUGGAACUCCAUGUGUAGCGGUGGAAUGCG
rnacentral:rRNA from 1 species